UACAGAGGUCUCAAGCGUUGCUCGGAAUCAUUGGGCGUAAAGCGCACGUAGGCGGUUCGUUAUGUCGGAUGUGAAAGCCCUUGGCUUAACCGAGGAAGUGCAUCCGAAACUGGCGAGCUAGAGUACGAAAGAGGAUCGCGGAAUUCCCGGUGUAGAGGUGAAAUUCGUAGAUAUCGGGAGGAACACCGGUGGCGAAGGCGGCGAUCUGGGUCGAUACUGACGCUGAGGUGCGAAAGCGUGGGGAGCAAACAGG
rnacentral:rRNA from 1 species